UGGUGCCAGCAGCCGCGGUAAUUCCAGCUCCAAUAGCGUAUAUUAAAGUUGUUGCAGUUAAAAAGCUCGUAGUUGAAUUUCGGGAUGAUCAGGUUGGUCGUGCCAUUGGUAUGUACUAGCUUUGGUGGUUCCUACCUCUUGAAGAACCGUAAUGCCAUUAACUUGGUGUUGCGGGGAAUCAGGACUGUUACUUUGAAAAAAUUAGAGUGUUUAAAGCAGGCAAACGCUUGAAUACAUUAGCAUGGAAUAAUGAAAUAGGACGUUUGAUCUUAUUUUGUUGGUUUCUAGGAUCGACGUAAUGAUUAAUAGGGAUAGUUGGGGGCAUUAGUAUUCAAUUGUCAGAGGUGAAAUUCUUGGAUUUAUUGAAGACUAACUACUGCGAAAGCAUUUGCCAAGGAUGUUUUCAUUAAUCAAGAACGAAAGUUAGGGGAUCGAAGACGAUCAGAUACCGUCGUAGUCUUAACCAUAAACUAUGCCGACUAGGGA
rnacentral:rRNA from 1 species